AAGCGGGGCCGUGUGCUCCUCAUCAAGGCCGGCUGGGGAGGGGGAGGCCCGGCGGGAGGCCCUGGCUCUCAUUUCAAUCACAAAGGGCGGCCAUGGGCACGCCGCCGCCAUGCUGCGCGCAGGGCCUUCGCCCCAGGUGUUGUUCCAGGGCACCUGUGCUACGUGGGGUGUGCAUCGGGAAUAAACACCAAUUCUGGUUGGCAUAAACCGAAGAACAUCUACUGGAGAGCACAGCAUGGGCAAUUUGCUCUGUCUUGUAGCACGUCGGACCCAUUUGAAACACUUCAGCAGGAAAGCAGUGUGACGUGAGCAGAGGGAAGCCUCUGAAAAUCUACCUCGUGUCUUCUCGUGGAGUUCAUCAGGACGGUGGCUGAGGUUUGAAGCCGAGAUCUUCACCACGGUGCUGCUGUAAAGGCAAUGCGGAACCAGUAAGGAUCAGGAGACUUGUGUGCUAAAUGCCAUUUUGGGCCUCGGGAAGAAGUGAGGAAACAGUUGCUGAGCACUAAGAAACAGAAGUAUGGUGAUAACAGAAGGCCAAUAAACCUAAAACUAAGGAAACACCGGGGAUGGCGACAGCAAAAGAGCAGUUAACCCAGCUGGAAAAUGGGGGAAGGAAAGCAGAAACCUCGCGGAAAGUCGGAUGCCACAUCUGAUCCGCAGCCUCCUGGGAGAAGGGCUUUGCAAAAUCCGUGCUGAGGUCGUGAGGAAACGCAGAGCAGCCUCGUCGGCUGUGGAUGCUACAUCCAAGUCCCUGCUUUGCUCUAAUGGGUUGACGACAGCCACUUUCUGUAAUUCCUCGUGAGCAAACAUCCACCCCCCGAGCAGCUGCUGCCGCUGUGUCCGUGCGUGUGCAUUUUGGAAUAACACCAUCCCUAAUUUGUCCCCAGUUGGCUUUCACCUGCAGCCUCGUUGACGAGGGCUCAGGAUGAAGUUGUGGCCCCCAUUAAAAAUGAAGGGCCCUCGUGAUAAAUGAGGUGGCGCCAACCUGAGCGGCGAAAUGGUUUGAAAUAAGCUCUCAGCCGGCCUCGAAUAAUUGUAGGAAGUGGGAUGCUCGCCACAGGGCACCUCCUUUGUAAUUUGUGAGGGGACGAUGACGUUUGAAUGCUAGGAAAUAGGAGCAUCCAAAAAAAAAAACAACAAUGUUCAUUCCCGAUAUCGAGUCUUGAUUAUU